GACGAACGCUGGCGGCGUGCUUAACACAUGCAAGUCGAACGAAGUGGCGAACGGGUGAGUAACGCGUAAUCAACCUGCCCUUCAGAGGGGGACAACAGUUGGAAACGACUGCUAAUACCGCAUACUGAAGGAGGGGCUUGCGUCUGAUUAGCUAGUUGGAGGGGUAACGGCUCACCAAGGCGAUGAUCAGUAGCCGGUCUGGGAGGGUGAACGGCCACAGUGGAACUGGGACACGGACCAGACUCCAACGGGAGGUAGCAGUGGGGAAUCGUCCGCAAUGGAAGAAAGUCUGACGGAGCAACGCCGCGUGAGUGAGGACGGCCUUCGGGUUGUAAAGCUCUGUUAAUCGGGACGCGGUACCGGAAUAGAAAGCCACGGCUAACUACGUGCCAGCCGCCGCGGUAAUUC
rnacentral:rRNA from 1 species